rnacentral:rRNA from 1 species
UACAGAGGUCUCAAGCGUUGUUCGGAUUCAUUGGGCGUAAAGGGUGCGUAGGUGGCGCCGUAAGUCAGGUGUGAAAUUUCGGAGCUCAACUCCGAAGCUGCAUUUGAUACUGCGGUGCUUGAGGACUGGAGAGGAGACUGGAAUUCACGGUGUAGCAGUGAAAUGCGUAGAUAUCGUGAGGAAGACCAGUGGCGAAGGCGGGUCUCUGGACAGUUCCUGACACUGAGGCACGAAGGCCAGGGGAGCAAACGGG